rfam:Schistosoma rodhaini strain Burundi genome assembly, scaffold: SROB_scaffold0002279
AUCCAACUGAUGAGUCCCAAAAAGGACGAAACUCGCGUCCUGGAU